CCUGUGAAAGUAUCAAGAUGUGACCAUCAGAGAGCAACAUAUCAAUCAUUUGAGGAGUCAAGAGUAAUUCUUUUCAUAAUCACACGAGAAGAUAUGCAACAUACAGAGUACAGCUGAGAGUAUGGAGCUUUAGUGCUUUACCCUUUUUUCCAGCAGAUAUUCUCGCUUAACCUUCCAGUCUUCUUCAGCUAAUGACUCCAAGAAAAGUUUAAAUAAGAACUAUUAAGGUUCUAUAAUGUCUUCAAAGUGCCAUGGCAAUUUAAUUUAGUAAGAGAAACUCAGAACAAGUACCUGGCGACUUUGCUGGUUUUGUGGCUGCAUUUUGGAUUGUUAAGCCUCUUGUGAUAUUCUGUUGGAGUGAAAUUUUUGCUGUGGGUUUGUAUGAUCUCACUCUCCCCCACCAUGAGUUAUGAUCGCGUGUAGCCUCUAAAGAAGGUACCAAAGACUGUAAAGAUGAUGUGGAUGAGUACUGUACAGCAAUUGAUGUAAAAGCUGCCAUGCUUUGAAGCUCAGUUUCAACUGAAAAAAAAAAA